rnacentral:rRNA from 1 species
UACCUGGUUGAUCCUGCCAGUAGUCAUAUGCUUGUCUCAAAGAUUAAGCCAUGCAUGUCUAAGUACAGGCCGAAUUAAGGCGAAACCGCGAAUGGCUCAUUAAAUCAGUUAUGGUUCAUUGGAUCUUACCUUGUCCUACUUGGAUAACUGUGGUAAUUCUAGAGCUAAUACAUGCAAGCAAGCCCCGACCGGCGACGGGAAGGGCGCUUUUAUUAGAUCAAAACCAAUCGGGCUCUUCGGGGCCCGUACCCCAGUGGUGACUCUGAAUAACUUUGUGCUGAGCGCACGGUCCUGGUACCGGCGCCGAAUCCUUCAAGUGUCUGCCUUAUCAGCUUUCGAUUGUAGGUUAUGCGCCUACAAUGGCUAUAACGGGUAACGGGGAAUCAGGGUUCGAUUCCGGAGAGGGAGCCUGAGAAACGGCUACCACAUCUAAGGAAGGCAGCAGGCACGCAAAUUACCCACUCCCGGCUCGGGGAGGUAGUGACGAAAAAUAACGAUGCGGGACUCAUCCGAGGCCUCGCAAUCGGAAUGAGUACACUUUAAAUCCUUUAACGAGGAUCUAUUGGAGGGCAAGUCUGGUGCCAGCAGCCGCGGUAAUUCCAGCUCCAAUAGCGUAUAUUAAAGUUGCUGCGGUUAAAAAGCUCGUAGUUGGAUUCGAGUCACGGAGCGAGGGUUCACCGCCCGGUGCUUACUCUCCGCCAUCCGGACGUUGAUGUCGGCGUGGCACGGGGUGCUCUUCACCGAGUGUCCCGGCGCCGCCGACGAGUUUACUUUGAAAAAAUUAGAGUGCUCAGAGCAGGCCGUUCCUGACGCGCCUGAAUAGUUGUGCAUGGAAUAAUGGAAUAGGACCUCGGUUCUAUUUUCCGUUGGUUUUCGGAACCCGAGGUAAUGACUAAUAGGAACAGUCGGGGGCAUUCGUAUUGCGACGUUAGAGGUGAAAUUCUUGGAUCGUCGCAAGACGAACUACUGCGAAAGCAUUUGCCAAGA